CCUACGGGAGGCAGCAGUGAGGAAUAUUGGUCAAUGGGCUUACGCCUGAACCAGCCAAGUCGCGUGAGGGAAGACUGCCCUAUGGGUUGUAAACCUCUUUUGUCAGGGAGCACUUUGCCCUACGUGUAGCGUUAUCGAGAGUCCCUGAAGAAAAAGCAUCGGCUAACUCCGUGCCAGCAGCCGCGGUAAUACGGAGGUUGCGAGCGUUAUCUGGCUUUAUUGGGUUUGAGGGGAGCGUAGGCGGAAUGCCAAGUCAGCGGUAAAAUAGCGGGGCUCAACCACGCUCCGCCGUUGAAACUGGCGAACUAGAGUGGGCUAGAGGUAAGCGGAAUGCGAGGUGAAGCGGUGAAAUGCAUAGAUAUCACGCAGAACACCGAAGGCGAAGGCAGCAUACCGGCGCCCAACUGACGCUGAGGGACGAAAGCGUGGGUAGCGAACAGGAUUAGAUACCCGGGUAGUC
rnacentral:rRNA from 1 species